CGUCAAGUCAUCAUGGCCCUUACGCCCAGGGCUACACACGUACUACAAUGGCGCGCACAAAGGGCAGCAAGACCGCGAGGUGGAGCCAAUCCCAAAAAACGCGUCUCAGUCCGGAUUGCAGUCUGCAACUCGACUGCAUGAAGUCGGAAUCGCUAGUAAUUCUGGAUCAGCAUGCCAGGGUGAAUGCGUUCCCGGGCCUU
rnacentral:rRNA from 1 species